rnacentral:rRNA from 1 species
CCCUGGACUCUGGGAUAAGCGCUGGAAACGGCGUCUAAUACUGGAUAUGAGCUUUCACCGCAUGGUGGGGGUUGGAAAGAUUUUUCGGUCUGGGAUGGGCUCGCGGCCUAUCAGCUUGUUGGUGAGGUAAUGGCUCACCAAGGCGUCGACGGGUAGCCGGCCUGAGAGGGUGACCGGCCACACUGGGACUGAGACACGGCCCAGACUCCUACGGGAGGCAGCAGUGGGGAAUAUUGCACAAUGGGCGGAAGCCUGAUGCAGCAACGCCGCGUGAGGGAUGACGGCCUUCGGGUUGUAAACCUCUUUUAGCAGGGAAGAAGCGAGAGUGACGGUACCUGCAGAAAAAGCGCCGGCUAACUACGUGCCAGCAGCCGCGGUAAUACGUAGGGCGCAAGCGUUAUCCGGAAUUAUUGGGCGUAAAGAGCUCGUAGGCGGUUUGUCGCGUCUGCUGUGAAAUCCCGAGGCUCAACCUCGGGCCUGCAGUGGGUACGGGCAGACUAGAGUGCGGUAGGGGAGAUUGGAAUUCCUGGUGUAGCGGUGGAAUGCGCAGAUAUCAGGAGGAACACCGAUGGCGAAGGCAGAUCUCUGGGCCGUAACUGACGCUGAGGAGCGAAAGGGUGGGGAGCAAACAGGCUUAGAUACCCUGGUAGUCCACCCCGUAAACGUUGGGAACUAGUUGUGGGGACCAUUCCACGGUUUCCGUGACGCAGCUAACGCAUUAAGUUCCCCGCCUGGGGAGUACGGCCGCAAGGCUAAAACUCAAAGGAAUUGACGGGGACCCGCACAAGCGGCGGAGCAUGCGGAUUAAUUCGAUGCAACGCGAAGAACCUUACCAAGGCUUGACAUACACCAGAACACCGUAGAAAUACGGGACUCUUUGGACACUGGUGAACAGGUGGUGCAUGGUUGUCGUCAGCUCGUGUCGUGAGAUGUUGGGUUAAGUCCCGCAACGAGCGCAACCCUCGUUCUAUGUUGCCAGCACGUAAUGGUGGGAACUCAUGGGAUACUGCCGGGGUCAACUCGGAGGAAGGUGGGGAUGACGUCAAAUCAUCAUGCCCCUUAUGUCUUGGGCUUCACGCAUGCUACAAUGGCCGGUACAAAGGGCUGCAAUACCGUGAGGUGGAGCGAAUCCCAAAAAGCCGGUCCCAGUUCGGAUUGAGGUCUGCAACUCGACCUCAUGAAGUCGGAGUCGCUAGUAAUCGCAGAUCAGCAACGCUGCGGUGAAUACGUUCCCGGGUCUUGUACACACCGCCCGUCAAGUC